GAUCCUUUGGCAUCUACACGGUUAUGUCAUCCAAGGGGGAGUGUUGUAGACCGCAUGGUCGGAUGGACUCCAUAACCGUGGGCCUAAUCCAUAUUCUAGAAGGCCCAUGUCCAUGUUCUAGAGAAUUCUCCUUAUGACGGUCUAUGUUAUACUUAGUGGGCUUUUGGGCUUUAGGAUUUACUAGCCCAAUGGGGAUUUG
rnacentral:lncRNA from 1 species